GGGAUUUAUAAAAUUCUUUGUAAUCUUGGUGAAUGGCAUUAGUUUUGGCUAGAUUCACUGUAAGGCCAAAGAGACAAUAAAUGGGUUUAAUUGUGGCCUCUUCCUUCAAGCUAUAUGGAAAGAGGUCAUUGAAUCAUUAUAACCCAUAUAACAGCCACAAUCAUUUGAUCAUUUUUCCUA
rnacentral:ncRNA from 1 species